rnacentral:lncRNA from 1 species
AGCCGCUUAGGCUGCUGCUCUGCUGUUCCGUGCUGAUCGGAAUCAGCCCACAGCCGCUUAGGAGGCAAAGCUGGAAGGAAUGUUUAUCGUUUAUCUGGGGCCAAGAGAGGGACGGGCUGGAGCCCCCACAGCCAGAGCCGCGUGCCUGGGAAGGCCCAUCUCAUGUGCGUGUGUGCGUGCGUGCUGCGUGUGUGUGCGUGUGCGCUGACUGAGGCCACGUUGCCUCUCCGCGGGCCCCGCCAGAGCUGGGACAGCUGCUGAUUCCGAACACACGUGUGUUUGUCGGGGGGCCUUAGAGCCAGCCCGGGCGGGGCCGUCGGUGAAGGGCCCCGUCCACCACCGGACUCCCAGCCUCUGAUGCCGCCUCAAACGCGUCCCUACCGUGGCCAUCAAUCCAGCAGAGCUGCCCACCGCAGACCCAGGCGUCUGAGCCUCGAGAACACCUCCCCGAGGGCUGCGGAACUGCCUCCAGGCCCUGCAGCUUGGAGAGGAGCAGGCCUCGCCAGUUCUCCCAGUCCAGACCCCAGGCUCUUAAUGACACUCGGACGCCCUACACAGGGCGACACCCAAGCCUUCCCGUCUCCCCACUCCCUGUGAGUCACCCUGGCCGCUGCCAAGAAGCAGGUUUCACAGCGCUGGCGUCUGGGGACGGCAGCAGCAGGCCCACCCCGGCCCCAGGCCGGCUGGCCUGGGUGACACACACAACGGUUCAGAAGUACAGGACAGGACAAGAUGAGGAAAGCUCGGAGAGACCCUUCGGGCCCAGGAGUCAGGGCCUCUGUGACCCGGUGGCCUCGAGCACAGCUGUCACUCGUUCGCCACAUUUGCAGUCGCUGAAAAGGCCUCAGCGAGGGAGACGGCGUUGAACAAACUCCUAGUCCUAGUCGUGCGGCCAAGAAGACUCCUUAGGAACAAAGGAGCAGAGAGGGACGAGGUGAGGGGUCACGGAGGGCCUUGCCCCCGAGGUGACGUUUAAGCGGAGAUGCGGAGGAGGAGCUGGUGCCAGUGUCACUGAGAGAGGAACACACCAGGCUUCAGGGCCGGUCCGCCAGGCUACAGUGUCCCUGAGAAAGGGGCAGAGGGAGCUCCGGUCAUGGCUCGGGGUUAACGAACCCGACUAGGAUCCAUGAGGAAGUGGGUUCGAUCCCUGGCCUCGCCCUGUGUGUUGAGGAUCUGGCGUUGCCAUGAGCUGGGGUGUGGGUGGCACGCAGAUGCGGCCUGGAUCCUGCGUUGCUGUGGCUGUGGUGUAGGCCGGCAGCUGCAGCUCCGAUUUGACCCCUAGCCUGGGAACCUCCAUACGCCUCGGGUGCGAACAUAAAAAGACAAAAGACAAAAAAGAGAGAGAGAAAGGGGCAGGGAGGAACCCGCCAGGCUACAGGGCCGUGGGUCCUCCCUGGUGAGGAGCAAAGCCUGGUUAGGGCCAUGAGGUCAAGGAGCCCCCGGGACCUUAGAGAGGGCCCUUAACGCCCCCACACUUCAGUGUCAAAAUCGCUGAUUUGCAAGAUACUCAUGAGGAUUUAAUUAUACGGCGCCCCGCAUGUCUCAGGGCCUUAGGCGUAGGCACGCAGUAAAUGGCAGCAGAGUGUCUUGUAAUGCCCUGUGCGCGUAGCAUUUAUAACCACGGGUUUGAUGACAUUUUAUAACCCGCUUCUCUUUGUUUGUCUUUCCCCUCCCUCUCUCCCCACCCCUCUCUCUCUCUCUCUCUCUCUCUCUCUCUCUCUCUUUCUCUCUUCUUUCUCAGCCACACCUGCUGCAUAUGGAAGUUCCCAGGCCAAGGACGGAAUCCGAGCCAGGGCUGCAACUCACACCACAGCUGCAGCAAAGCCAGAUGCUUAACUCGCUGCUUCAGGCCAGGGAUGGAACCAG